rnacentral:rRNA from 1 species
GAACGGNUGANUAACGCGUGAGGAACCUGCCUCAAAGAGGGGGACAACNGUUGGAAACGACUGCUAAUACCGCAUAAGCCCACGGGUCGGCAUCGACCAGAGGGAAAAGGAGCAAUCCGCUUUGAGAUGGCCUCGCGUCCGAUUAGCUAGUUGGUGAGGUAAUGGCCCACCAAGGCGACGAUCGGUAGCCGGACUGAGAGGUUGAACGGCCACAUUGGGACUGAGACACGGCCCAGACUCCUACGGGAGGCAGCAGUGGGGAAUAUUGCACAAUGGGGGAAACCCUGAUGCAGCGACGCCGCGUGGAGGAAGAAGGUCUUCGGAUUGUAAACUCCUGUUGUUGAGGAAGAUAAUGACGGUACUCAACAAGGAAGUGACGGCUAACUACGUGCCAGCAGCCGCGGUAAAACGUAGGUCACAAGCGUUGUCCGGAAUUACUGGGUGUAAAGGGAGCGCAGGCGGGAAGACAAGUUGGAAGUGAAAUCUACGGGCUCAACCCAUAAACUGCUUUCAAAACUGUUUUUCUUGAGUAGUGCAGAGGUAGGCGGAAUUCCCGGUGUAGCGGUGGAAUGCGUAGAUAUCGGGAGGAACACCAGUGGCGAAGGCGGCCUACUGGGCACCAACUGACGCUGAGGCUCGAAAGUGUGGGUAGCAAACAGGAUUAGAUACCCUGGUAGUCCACACCGUAAACGAUGAUUACUAGGUGU